rnacentral:sRNA from 15 species
GCGAGACGGGUGGUCCGGCAAACGGUGCGGACCGAUAAACUGCACCCGGAACGUGAUCGGGCGCAGCCUCCGAUGUGGUUCCGCCAAAUGAUCAGCCAGCAGCCGCUGCAACCCCAGGGAG